UGGUAUUUAGGCAUCCACAUGCAAUUAUAAUUUUAUGUCAGAGUAAAAAGUUUAAUAAAAUGUUCUAGUAACUAGUUGAGAUGUAGCUAACUAUUAUGUUCCCCUUACGGAAUAUUUUGUUAACCUUGCUCUACACUGAAAUGGCCUUGUGCUCAAGACUAUGUAAACUGACACUGACACUGAGCAUCAGUGCCGUGAAAAGAAAACAGGGGAGGUGGAUGAUAAACUAUAGUAAAAUAAAGCUAUUAAACACAGUCUAGCUGCAAAAAUGUACAAAGGUGUACAUUUUGUAGAUGAAAUCACCACAAGUUGCCUAGAGUUGUAAACUUCCACACAAUUGCAAUAUAAAGAAGUCAUCCCAAAAGUUUUUGAAUGUUUUCUAGCACGUUUUCUAGCGCGCAAUGAUACUUUAUUUUCUGUGACUUAAGUAGGUCCUUAAAAUGCUAGUGGAUGGCUCCAAAAAGAACAGACAGUCAGCGUAAACGUCAUCAAUACAACUCCAGCGGUUAAGUGAAUGUCUUCUAAAUUGACAGUCGCUUUUGGUGUGAAAAAGAUCAAUUUUUAAAUACUUUUUAACUAUGAUAUUUUUUUUUAUUUUUCUUCAAAUGUGUUCUGCUGAAGAAAGUAAGUCAUACACACCUGGGAUGGCAUGAAGAGUUCUGGCCACCAUUCAUUUGUAUGGACCUACAGAGCUGAGAUAUUCUUCAAAAAUCUUUGUUUUUGUUCUGCAAAAGAAAGAAAGUCAUACACAUAUGGGAUGGCAUGAGGGCUGGAGAAUUCAAAUGCAAGCAUGUGUCAUUUGUGCACUGACUAGGAGUAUCCAUCCCAGACAACUGAUACAACACCAUGACGUGGCAAUGAGGAUGUUCAUGUACAACAAACUCGAGCAAAAUGCCAGUUGUAAUGUUCAGUUCCAGUGUUUGUGUGUGUAAAUACAUGUACUCAAAUGAAUUGUCUUUUGUAGUUACAUGCAUGACAACCUGUAAUUUGUAUCCCAAAAAAAAAAAAAAAAAAAAAAUCAUACCAUUAGCCAACAGACUUGCUUUAAAGUGUUAAAAAAAAAAAAAAAAAAACCCACACUCUUAAAACGUAUUUACCUCAAAAUGCCUUGAUAGAACUCAAUAAAUAUUGUCAAAUAAGAU